GUGCAGAAUAUUAUUUCAUUAAAAACACUAAAAUAUGAGUUCUUUUGGUCUGAUAAGACUCAUCGCUCUCCUCUGCGUAUUUAUGGCCUUUGCAAACAUCUUCAUUCUUUACCUUCUGCCACCACAUACUGCUCUGAAGCAGGAACCGAACCGAGGCGCUGGAGCAGAGGGGCUCCUUUUGUCUUUUUAAAAUCCAUUGUUCCUUUAGAGUGACUCAUUUCUUUACGAAAAAAAGAAAAGAAAUCUCCAUUCAGAGCGGAGUGAUGAUAUCGCUCAACGUGCAUGCUCGCUUUAGCCGAUCAUUGAUGCCAUCAGCCGGAAGGAGGCUCGCCAUAUGUCACAGGCAUUCAUGUGUCGGCGCGGCGUGUCCCCGCCGAUCAACUGGUCUGCUUCCACUCACUUGGGCCUCUAUUCUUCACGCCAGCAUGGAGGCAACGCCACACGCAGCCCUUGUGGUCUGCGGAGGCAACAAGUGUGAAAAAUGGGGGUGGAAAUAUGUGCAGGAUGUAUAUAUAUAUAUAGGGGUUGUAUUGUUUCUGCGGGACACCGGGGCAGAUGGACGAACAAUGUUUGCCGGGCAACGUGGUUCAAUAUGUCACGCUGCAGCACGAGAAGGAACAGCUGUGCGGGCCUCCAAACAAGGAGCAGGCUGCCUGGCAACUGCGCUCCCAUUGGCCAACCUUCCACCUCCUCCGACCAAUUGCAGCAGCUCCACCACGAGGAAGCGAAUGGGGGAGAAAAACAAAGCAGAGGGGGAAACAGAAGGAAGAAAAUGUGAGAAAGUUUGCAGUAAGAAACAUGUUGAGGAUGUAGACUUUGGCUCGUGCUCCCAACAGGGAGUGAUGUGAUUUGAAAAGGCCGACUAGGCGUACGGAAGCACUUUAACCUCUUUUCAGAAAGAUCUGCAAAACUUUUAAUGUUUCCCGUCUUUCGGGAAAUUCCUGGAUUCUGCCAAAAAUUUGCUUUACCCCUUUUUAACUAAACGGAUUAUGGGGGGAACAAUCCCUACUUCACAUUACACCCACAGCCAUUGCUGCAACAACCAUUUUUGUUUGGUAUCAAAGUCACCAAUGUGUUCCGGUGCUCACCGGGGGACCUGAGUCACAUCUCCCCGGGAUGAAAGGUGUUUGUUUUACAGUAGCUGUGACGCAUGCCGUUGCUGGUAGACUUGAGGUUCGGCAGACGAGGGGCAAGAGGGGUAAAUACAAACAAGAAGUGAGUCAAUGGGGGGGGGGCAGCACGUAGCUCGUGUUUAUGGUGCGAGUGGGUGGGCAUCCGUGUUCAGAUACGCCCUGUAAUUACAGUCGGAGAACGUUGUGAGACGCAGGGCGCUUCUCUCCCCCGGAGGCCUCGGCAACAAAAAACCUGCAGAGCGACGAAGGCCCCGUCAACCUGCCCCGGUACAUGUGCAGACAAACAGCACAAAUGAGUCCUUGUGGCAUUGUAUUCGGGUCCUGAAGAGGUUUGCUGCUUGACAACAACUUGGUCAAUCAAAACGGCCCAAAUAUUACCGCUUCCUUUUGGCAAAAUGUCAUCAAACUCAAGCUCUUCAGAACGUGGGCGUUUGGACAAAGGGCGUAAAUGGGAAAAUUGGGAAAGCUGUUGGUUUACAUGGAUCCUCUGAUCCUCUUUUUUAUUUCAUAGUAUUGAUGUAAACCUUUUAGUUUUGCAAUACCGUAAUGUGGUGCAUAUUUAGGGAAUUGUGAUUAGUCGGACCAUUGAAAGUUCUGGCAAUUUUAUUGACAUCAGCACUGUGAGCAGCAGAUAUGCCCGGACAUGAAAAAUGUUUUACUUUUGAACACAGGUAUGGUCUUUUUUACUAGAGCUUUAUAGCUUGCCCGGGGAAAGACUUUUUUCCCCAUUGAAGUAAAGACAAAUUAAUCCAACUUGUCGAUUUGCAGCCUAAUGAAAGCUCAGGCCUGCGGGGCUACAACUGAAAACCAUCCAAUUCCUCUCCUGCUUAUAAUAAAUAAAGCAAUGUGGGCCUCUGUGGGACUUAACUGUCUCUUAAUUCAGACCGACCCUCUCUUUAAAAAAGAAACAACCAUUCCCCUUUAAAAACAAAUACCUCUCUGCCAUUUACACCUAGUUCUUGACUCAUGAAGCCGGCAGUGCAACCCAAUGAGAGCUCUUUGAUAAGCGUUGACACAGUAAAGUCAAAUUGUAGCGAUUAGUGGCCGAGAUGCUAAAUAAACCGUACCGCUCGCCUGAACUUUUAAUUCUCACAAAUAGUUUGACGUUGUGUGACUGAGAUAUAAAUCACAGCCUCAGGGAACCAGCAGAGGGUGUGAAGGCGAUAGCUGCUAAAAUACAACCUAGGAGAUUCAGUUUGUCUACACUGACAGCCUUUUUGUUAAAAAUGUAUAUAAAACAUAAGCAGUUGGCAUAGUUUUUAGAGUUUUCUUUCUUUUUUGAGAACACGUAUGCGUGGUCAGGAAUCUCAGAGGCUUCCACAGGACAUCAGCCCCAAACUGACCUCAUUGUGUAAUAUGCCAAAGCCCCAGGGGAGUUUACCCAAACUGACCAAUGGCAUUUCAGAUCAAUAAUGACCCCGAGGUCUCUCCGAGGCCACGGGCGACCAAACAGCAUCAGUCUGGUCCCACUGUGAGGCCCAGACAACCCAAACAUAAUCCAUGGAGUCCCGUCCCGGAUUACCGUGUCUGCUCCACCCACACUCCACUUUAUGGAAAUUAGUCAGGAUUAUAUGAAGUCACACACACACACACACAUACACAAGAACACGGUCUCCCGGUGUAAAAGCGGUGCAACAAAAUCACCCGAGAUCUUUCUGUUUUCCUGAAAACAGCGAUUACUGCAGCUGUCAUUUCCCCCAGAUUAGUGGGAGUGGAGUAGAUUGGAGGGAUUCGUCUCCACACCACACAAACAAAGCGUUUUGGCUGAGUCCUUCUUAUCUGGCACGAGUGGGAACAACAUGGCGAGUCUCAAAAUGCAGAUUUGUUUUGUUUGGCCCAUGGGAACACGUUGCCAUGGUGACCGUGAUAGCGAUUUCUCGGUGGAUGUGUCACGCAGGCUUGUGAAUUCUGGCUGCAGCACAUUUCAGCAGGGGUUUGCACGUGUUUUUGAAUGAUACCAAAUGUUUUCACCGUGUGUUAUACCUUUCCACAUGAGGACAAGUGUGCAUGUUCUCGUCGAAUGGUUUCAGCACGUGUGUCAAUGCUCCCGAAUCUGCAUAAAUAUCAUCAACCGAUGGUUCAGUGGCUGUUUCCAAGGCACCGGAGGCUCCGGGAGAACUUUCACUAGCCGUGUGAUCUCUCACGCUGGUCUUAUUUUAUCUUCUUUUCUCAAUCCAGCGGAAAGAAACGUGCUGAUCCACUGUGGUUUUCUCUGCUCACAUGCAUCCCUUGUUUCCCACCAGCUUUGAUCCCUUUUCCAAUGCAGACAGGAACGAGCCCGUGGUGAGAAUUUGGAAUGAAUAAAGAGGUGUUGGGAAUGAAUGAGCAUACAGGUGAUGAUUGUUCAUACGUUGCUCAGUGGUCGUGCAUCGAAAGCCCACACCAACAACAACAAAAAACCCAGCUCCAAAGCCUCAGAGAGAGAGCGGCUGAUGAAACAAUGUUGGUUGCGGAGGCGGCUUCUGACCGAGCUCACCUGCGGAUUAAACUGCUCCGCAGGGAGAUGCAAAGCACAUCGCAGCGGC
ensembl:lncRNA